CUUUCUAUAGAAAGGACAGAGGAACCUGGGCUUUUCUAGGCUGAUUUGGAUGUGGAAAAGCUAUGCCAGACAUUCCCAAGGCACUAGAUAGCUAUAAAGGAAAGAGAUAGAUCAGGAUCCUAGCCAUGGGCACUGAAAAGUGUUGAGUGUCACCAGGGUCAGGGGCUUCUGUAGUCACCCCUGGGCUCCAAUAACCAAGCAAGGUUGGCAGCAGGGCCACAGGGCCUGAGGUCCCAUUUUCCCACUCUCAUAUAGGCAUUGUCUCAUCUUUUUGAAUUGAUGGGGUUGUCUUGGUAGGCCAGAGCAAAUCACGUGAUUAUCAUUGAGAAUGACAUCCAUUCUGAAGAUACCUUUCAGGAUGACUUCAGGACUAGAAAUAGUAUCUGGCUUGUUUCUAGUACAUCUUACCUAAAGUUUCAUGUAUGAAUGGGAGAACGAAAGCCUCAGAUUGUCAACUAACUCUACCAAGUCUUACAAUAGUUCAGUGUUCAUCCAAAAAUCAAAUCCAUAAUUCCAGAUCAUUUCUUCAAUUCCUUCAACUCUUCUUUGAAGCUGAGACCCAGACUCUCGUCUGAUUUUCUAAGCCAGGCAAGACUGAUCAAGAAUCCUACAAGAAGAAAGUUUUCAGAAUCCUGACCUCACUCCAGCAGGUCCAGAACGUUGCUGGUGACAAUGUUCUGGAAGACACCUCAGCAUGAAUCUCUGGAGCCAGCAUCUGGUACCACUGCCAUCUAUGGGGUGAAUACUGCAAUUAAGAGCCUGACCCUCUAUGGUGAAUAAAAAGGUUGUGAAAUUA